CGACAGAACAGCGAGUAGAAUGGAAAAGUAUAGACAGUAGCAUUUCCCAGCCCAUUCGUUACAAACCAAGACUGGAGUCAGCACAACGUCCAUCAUUCUUCGAGGAUAUUUUCGUAUAGUGGUCACACCAUUGACUGUAGCCUAUAUAAAGGGUCACGCAGGAGUUUUACUUGUCAACCAUGAACCAAACCGCAGGAGUAACACAGACAUACCGGAGGUGUUCUAAAGCAGGAAAGUGCCAUUUCCUGUACCAGCAAUUGGCUGUGUCAACUUCCGAAACGCAGACCUCCCAGAGAAAUGUGCUGGGCUUGCACCUGUGUCAGUCUCCCAGAUGGACCUGCUGAGAUUGUGCCGCAGGUUUUCUCCAAAUCUCUCAAAGAUCCAACCCUCGGGCGUAAUACCUGAAUAUCCAUAAUUGCUGUGGAUAUUAGCCGAUAAUUCUGUGUUUCCAUACAUUGUUGAUGAGCCACUUACACUUACAACCUUUCAGAAUAUAGAUGUAGGCUCUUAAUUUGAUCAGUCUUUUGUUGCUGAUAAUUUUUCUGCAAACAGGAAAAGCAAGCUUGUAGUAUAUUUGGGUUUUUAAAAGGCUUCUAAAGUUUGUCAUUUCCAUUUAGAAAUUUCAGACUUGAUUUGCCCAAAUAAAACAUUUAUCAACCCCUACAAAAAUGUCCAUUAAUUAUAAUCCACAUAAUAAUUCACAUUUCCUACUGCUGUAGGAUUAUUUUACUACUGUAGCAAACUGGCUCAAAUUAAGAUCCUGUAUGUGUGGUGUUCUGUGAUUUAUUUCCGUUUUGUUCUCCAGAUGUUAUUUGCCGCUGCUGUCUGUUGGUCUUUUUAUCAAUGACUUCACACUUCUGUAUUUAUACAGUGUAUGUGUCAUCAUAAGCCACUAGUCUUACCCUUGUCAAUGGUGACUUGUAAGUUACUUGAAGUUAACUGCAAUCCUUCAUAUUUUAGUUUAUAUCAGAGUAACGUCAAGGUUGUGUGAUGUAUUGGGUGACCGCGUCCCAGAUUGGGCGGGACAAUCCUGCAUUUUGUACCUUUGUCCCUUAACCAAACAAUCAAGUCCCACAU
rnacentral:lncRNA from 1 species